UACGAAGGGUGCAAGCGUUACUCGGAAUUACUGGGCGUAAAGCGUGCGUAGGUGGUUUGUUAAGUCUGCUGUGAAAGCCCCGGGCUCAACCUGGGAAUGGCAGUGGAUACUGGCAAGCUAGAGUGCGGUAGAGGGUAGUGGAAUCCCGGUGUAGCGGUGAAAUGCGUAGAGAUCGGGAGGAACACCAGUGGCGAAGGCGGCUACCUGGACCAGCACUGACACUGAGGCACGAAAGCGUGGGGAGCAAACAGG
rnacentral:rRNA from 1 species